CAUUUGCCCAUUCUUUUGAAAAUGUCUGUACAGGGGGAGAGAAAGAGUUAAUAGGCAGACCAAUAGAAAAGCCAGAGGUGGAGCCUACCUGUCUAUAAAAGGGCUUGGCCCGAGGUUUAGUUAGUUUGUUGGUUGGUUGGCAAGAGGCAGUUGGGAAAGCAGUUGGCAGACAGAUGGAAAUAGAGAGACAUCCAUGUCAAGAAGGCCAUCUCAAGAAGAUUCACUUCAGGCAAUACCAUGAGGGGAAAUAGAUGAGGGCAGAAACUAAGGUAAUUCAAUCAGGAUGUUGAAAGAGUGAUUUCCAUUCAUUGCACCAACGGUCUGAAAGACGGAUGGUUUAAUUAAUCCAACUACAUUCCUAUAAAUAAACAAUGCAGGGCAGUUAACAGGCUACUUUGCUCAUAGUAUUAUAGAUUUUUUUGUUAGUAUUCUUGAAGAGUACCAUUUCGUACUAGAUCAAUUCAACCAAAGGCUGACAAUAUAUGAUUCCACCAUGCCACUUUCAAGAAAUGACAAGAACAACCAUUACAACAAGAAAAGAAAAACAUGCAAAUGUACAUACCAUCUACUGUUUCCAACCUAAUUUUAAAUUAAACAUUCAACUUCUUUUUCCCCCACAAUGACCAUUGGUG